rnacentral:misc_RNA from 1 species
UUUAUCAGAUCUUUCUCCACUUGAGAGGAGUCUUCCUUCAGCAACAUCUGGAUCAACAAAGACAACUGCCUCAGGAUGGGCGGCUUUCUAGUUGUGUGGGGUAUUUCUUCAGUAUGAAACCUCUGUUUGAUGUUUUCUUUAAAAGAAAGUGAAAAUGAAUAAUAUAAUUGAGAAAAGUAAGAAAGCACAGCCAUAUACGUUCAUGUGUGGAAA